UCCCUGCACAGGGAAGCACAGGUAGGAGC
rnacentral:piRNA from 1 species